rnacentral:antisense_RNA from 1 species
GAAGUUGUCGUCCUCGGCAGCCAGCAGUGCAUUAAUGAAAUCCCUGGGGAUUUGAUUGAAGGCAAUGGGUGAGCGGCGCAUUUCGCCAUACUCGGCAAUCAGUUUUUCAUCGCUGCUGUAGAUACGCAGCGGUAUCUGCAACUGUAUGCUGCGUAGCGAAUCGACCGAAGGCAGGUUGGGGCUGAGGUAGAGAAAGGCGCCGCUGAGACUCAGCAAAAGUCCGCAGAAAAUAGCCAGGCACGACCAGAGGAAAAACUUCAGGAAACGCAUCGGGGUUCGUUGAAUCCAGGAUG